UACGAAGGGGGCUAGCGUUGCUCGGAAUCACUGGGCGUAAAGGGCGCGUAGGCGGCCAUUCAAGUCAGAGGUGAAAGCCCAAGGCUCAACCUUGGAACUGCCUUUGAUACUGUUUGGCUUGAGACCGGUAGAGGUAAGUGGAACUGCGAGUGUAGAGGUGAAAUUCGUAGAUAUUCGCAAGAACACGAGUGGCGAAGGCGGCUUACUGGACCGGUUCUGACGCUGAGGCGCGAAAGCGUGGGGAGCAAACAGG
rnacentral:rRNA from 1 species